rnacentral:lncRNA from 1 species
AGUGGAGUUAAGCUCCUCAGAUGUCAACUUCAAGGUGAUGUCAGAUGGGGAGGUUAGGGUUUAGAGAUUUGAGACUGGGGUACAAACCUUCUGGAGUCAAUAACCCUAUGACCAGGAGGGUCAUUGUCAUGUCGGCUCAGGGAUUCGAACCAGCAACCUUUCGAUUACUGGUCCAAUGCUCUUAACCACCUGCCGCCCAGGUGGGCAGAUUGCCUGGUCCACUUCAGGGUGAGCCCUUCCCAGCUGUCCCUGUGCUGGAGUUACCAAAAUCCCGUGUGAGCCAGAUAAGGAGGAAGAGGGAUUGGGUCAUCCCUCCAAUCAAUGUAGCCGAGAAUGGCAGGAGCCCCUUCCUCAGUCCUAUAGUGCAGAUCAGGUACAGUAAUGAUAACGCAGUGAAGAUGCUUUAUAAGAUCAAAGACCAGGGGGCAGACCAUCCUCCAGUUGGCCGAUUCAAGAUCGAAAGGAACACUUGUAGGCUGUGGCGACCCGUCAUUCAGGGCCCAGGCAUGGAUCAAAGCUGGCGAGACAUGACGUCAUCUGCACAGAAGAAUCAACUGUGGACCUUGAGCAAUUUGCUCAGAAUUGCUUCAGAAAAAAAGGAAGAAGAUCAAGCCAGCCGAGUCCCAAGCAUCUGC